UCAGGACGAACGCUGGCGGCGUGCCUAACACAUGCAAGUCGAACGGACGAGGGAGCUUGCUCCCCAAGUAGUGGCGGACGGGUGAGUAACACGUGAGCAACCUGCCCUUCGGAGGGGGACAACAGUUGGAAACGACUGCUAAUACCGCAUAACGUAUUUUGGAGGCAUCUCCGGGAUACCAAAGAUUUAUCGCCGAAGGAUGGGCUCGCGUCUGAUUAGAUAGUUGGUGGGGCAACGGCCUACCAAGUCGACGAUCAGUAGCCGGACUGAGAGGUUGAACGGCCACAUUGGGACUGAGAUACGGCCCAGACUCCUACGGGAGGCAGCAGUGGGGAAUAUUGGGCAAUGGGGGGCAACCCUGACCCAGCAACGCCGCGUGGAGGAAGAAGGCUUUCGGGUUGUAAACUCCUUUGACGAGGGACGAAGAUGACGGUACCUCGAAAACAAGCCACGGCUAACUACGUGCCAGCCGCAGC
rnacentral:rRNA from 1 species